CCUACGGGAGGCAGCAGUGAGGAAUAUUGGUCAAUGGCCGGAAGGCUGAACCAGCCAUGCCGCGUGAAGGGCAGGGGCCUAGGGGCGUUAAACGUCUUUUGUGCGGGAGCAAGAAUGGUCACGUGGGGCCAGACGAGAGUACCGUAAGAAGAAGCAGCGGCUACCUCCGGGCCAGAAGCCGCGGUAAUACGGGGGAUGCAAGCGUUAUCCGGCUUGAUUGGGUUUCAAGGGUGCGGCGGCUGGGAGGUAAGGCAGCGGUGCAUUGCCCCCGCUCCACGGGGUGAAGUGCCAUUGAUACUGCCUUGCUGGCCUGCGGAUGCCGUGGGCGGCAUGUGUGGUGUAGCGG
rnacentral:rRNA from 1 species